rnacentral:lncRNA from 1 species
GGCUGGUUUAGAUAACACAAAGUUGCUGGCCAUGUCCUGAGAGAUGGAUCCAGAACACACAGUUAUGUGGGAAUUUAAAGUAUAAUUCCAAAUUGCAGGAGUGCAUAAGGGUUGGCAGGAACAGAAGCAAGCAGCUUACCUCUCAGCCCUGGGCGAGGCAGACUGCAGCUCAUUGGCCAAGUCUCACCACUUCUUGCUUUAAUAAGGCCUA